CUCAGAGAAAUCAGGACGGACCAAAGAAAAAUGAGGCAGAGGGCCUAAGAGAAAACCCCCGUACCCUUUCCCAGAAGCACACGGGCCUGCGAACCAGACUUCCUCUGUCGGUGGGAUGGGGCCGAGGCCACCUGGCGACAGGACUUCUGCACACAGCACAGGCUGAGGAGGGACGAGAUAUCUUCUGAGAGCCAGCAAUAUACCAGUGAACACAACAGACAAAAUGCCUGCCCUCAUGGAGCUCAUAUUCUAGUGAUAAUAAUAGUGAACACUCAAGAGUACUUUAGUCAAGGGACUUCCCUGCUGGCGCAGUGGUUAAGAAUCCACCUGCCAACGCAGGGGACAUGGGUUAGAGCCCUGGUCCGGGAAGAUCCCACAUGCCACGGAGCAACUAAGCCCGUGCGCCGCAACUACUGAGCUUGUGCUCUAGAGCCCGCAAGCCACAACUACUGAAGCCCGCACGCCUAGAGCCCGUGCUCUGCAACGAGAAGCCACCGCAAUGAGAAGCCCGCACACCGCAACAAAGAGUAGCCCCCGCUCUCUGCAACUAGAGAAAGCCCGUGCGCAGCAACGAAGACCCAAUGCAGCCAAAAAUAAAUAAAUAAAUAAAUAAAAAUUUAUUAAAAGAAAAA